GGCGCUGCCCGAAAUGCUUGGAAGGCUAGUUGGGGAGGGUAGCGCCUGCUAAGCGUUGCUCAUACCCGAGACAGGCGAGAUCGUUCAUGGGCUUUGUUUGGCUUUGCGGCCUUGCAUCUGCUCCUCUGGCGGUUUCGUGCUGGGCGAACCUCUCGAAGCAUCACACGGUCAUUGCCCACCACAGCUCGUUGCUUGGUCACCCGCUGAGUCUUGAUGUGCAGGAUGUUUCAUCCACUUUCCAGGCUAUUGAAGUUGACGCGUGGAUGGGCAGAAUCCCGCACGGAGGGCUUGUCCGUGCGUGGGUUGUGGCUCGCGUCACGCCUGUGAAAUCUGUGGCUCUGACUGCCGACUUGUGGACGUGGUGUGAUCCAUUCGGCGACGAAGCUGCAAUUGGCCAGACACAUACAGCUCCCAGCCCUCUCGUCAUGUGCCGACGGAGGGUACCUGCGGGCAGGCUGCUUGCGUCGCAUGCGAAGCAUACGCUCAGCCUGGGAUGCUGGUCUGAUUGGUGAUGUUCUGGCGACCAUCGGUCACGUCUCGAAACACGGGCCAAGGAGUAUAGCAUGUGUGCAAGUCUAAGGGUCUCACAAAACCCGAGGGCGAAGUGAAAGCAAAGGUGUGGCGGCGCAUUGCUGUGCCGUCAGCCAUGUCAAAGUGGUUGCUAGUACCGAGCUGAUCCUGCUUUCCCAUGCUGGGGACAGGCGCAAGCUCCGGGCUCACGAUUGUUGGUUCGGCAAGCUUCUCCUUCACGGGAGUUGCGGGCUGGACGGUGAGCACCGCGGAGCACAUAUGCUAUGACCCGAAAGAUAGUGAACUAUGCCUGGCGAGGGUGAAGCCCCAGGAAACUGGGGUGGAGGCCCGUAGCCGUUGUGACGUGCAAAUCCAUGGCGUCAG
rnacentral:rRNA from 1 species